AAUAGAUACCCCGGUAGUCCACGCCGUAAACGAUGGAUACUAGCUGUUGGGGGGCAACCUCAGUGGCUAAGCGAAAGUGAUAAGUAUCCCACCUGGGGAGUACGUUCGCAAGAAUGAAACUCAAAAGGAAUCGACGGGGGGCCCGCACAAGCGGUGGAGCAUGUGGUUUAAUUCGAUGAUACGCGAGGAACCUUACCAAGGCUUAAAUGCAGACUGACCGUUUUUGGAAACAGAACUUUCGCAAGACAGUCUACAAGGUGCUGCAUGGUUGUCGUCAGCUCGUGCCGUGAGGUGUCAGGUUAAGUCCUAUAACGAGCGCAACCCCUGUUGUUAGUUGCCAGCGAGUAGUGUCGGGAACUCUAACAAGACUGCCAGUGCAAACUGUGAGGAAGGUGGGGAUGACGUCAAAUCAUCACGGCCCUUACGCCUUGGGCCACACACGUGCUACAAUGGCCGGUACAGAGAGCAGCCACCUCGCGAGGGGAGCGAAUCUACAAGCCGGUCACGAGUUCGGAUCGGAGUCUGCAACUCG
rnacentral:rRNA from 1 species